ACGCUCGACAUCUACGGGAGGCAGCAGUGGGGAAUAUUGCACAAUGGGGGAAACCCUGAUGCAGCGACGCCGCGUGAAGGAAGACGUAUUUCGGUAUGUAAACUUCUAUCAGCAGGGAAGAUAAUGACGGUACCUGACUAAGAAGCCCCGGCUAACUACGUGCCCGCAGCCGCGGUAAUCUGAGCGGGCUGGCAAGGC
rnacentral:rRNA from 1 species